rnacentral:rRNA from 1 species
GACGAACGCUGGCGGCGUGCUUAACACAUGCAAGUCGAACGAAGAGCGAUGGAAGCUUGCUUCUAUCAAUCUUAGUGGCGAACGGGUGAGUAACGCGUAAUCAACCUGCCCUUCAGAGGGGGACAACAGUUGGAAACGACUGCUAAUACCGCAUACGAUCUAAUCUCGGCAUCGAGGAUAGAUGAAAGGUGGCCUCUACAUGUAAGCUAUCACUGAAGCAGGGGAUUGCGUCUGAUUAGCUAGUUGGAGGGGUAACGUACCACCAAGGCGAUGAUCAGUAGCCGGUCUGAGAGGAUGAACGGCCACAUUGGGACUGAGACACGGCCCAGACUACUACGGGAGGUAGCAGUGGGGAAUCUUCCGCAAUGGACGAAAGUCUGACGGAGCAACGCCGCGUGAGUGAUGACGGCCUUCGGGUUGUAAAGCUCUGUUAAUCGGGACGAAAGGCCUUCUUGCGAAUAGUGAGAAGGAUUGACGGUACCGGAAUAGAAAGCCACGGCUAACUACGUG